UGACUUAAGUAUGGUUUGGUUAUGCAUGUAAGAAACAUACGAUGGUUCUAACAAUUUUGUUUAAGUAUAGAAAUAUGCUUUUGUAGAACAUUUGCUUUCACAAACAUACAAACAAAUGUGCAAACUACAUAAUAUAUGUAUGUAUGAUUGUUUCGCAUUUUGCUUCUACGUCGGUCAAAUUUCUAUACAAAAAUCGGCUGAAAUGUGUGAGAAAAUAAAAUGGACAACUAGGGCAAAUAAUUUUUAAAACAUUUAUUGAUAAUUAAAUAUAAAUGAAAAUACAUGUAAAUUUACUUAAAUUUAUUGAAAUUCCGUUUCGCAUUUUUCGGCACUUUCAAAUUAAUUAAUAUUUGUAAGUAAAAUUCACGACUUAAACCGCACACGUCUUAUUCGCGCAAAAUUUCCAACUUUAUGAAAAUUUGCGCAAUUAUUGACACUUCAAUUUUAUGUAAAGUUUAAAACAUAUGAAUAUAUAAUAUAUUUGAUUUUGGCGCGUUUAUUGACACUUGUCUUAAUAUACAAAAUUGGGCCAAAACGAAACAAUGAAAUACAUAAUUACUUUUGCAUGUCAAUAUGGAAAUGCCGACGGCAAAACGAAAUUGCUUACAUUCGUACAUUGCGUAUGAAUCAUGAAAAUAUAAUCAUAAUGUUUAGGUAAAUCUUUUAUAUAUUUAAAAUGAGUUAUUAUAAAAUAAGAUCAAAUUAACAUUAAAUAAUUUGAAAAAUAAUAAACCAAAAAUAAAAAAAGUUCUACAUACAUAUUUCCAUCCUAUGGAAUAUCAAAGAAAUUAUUUUAUAAAUACAUAUAUUUCUCUCUCUUCAUAUUCUCGGUUAGAAUAUGUGAGAGAAUUGUAAAAAAUGUUAAAAGAGGCGAAUUCCGACCUACAAUGUUAACAAAUGCGGUGAAUUCCCUAAUUUGAAUCUAUCAAAUGUUCGCAGUCGAACCUGCACCUUUUCUAUACUUUUAAGUUCUCUGGUCAGUCUUCAUUUACUUUCUUUGCAAAUCGACCCGCGAUGACGAGGGGACUAUUCACAUGUGUGCGCAUAUGUAUGUUUGUAUGCUUGUGCAUUAUUGAAGUUAUACUUCUUUUUCUUUCGUUUGUCUUUCAUUUCUGCGAAUUCUCAACUAUUUUGAGUGACUUUUUGUUGAAAUACUCUGCGUUGGUCUUUGAAAAAUUCAUUUACAUUUUUUGAAAAUCGACCCGCGAUGACGAGGUAUAUCGUUUUAUCUGACAGCGUGAGGUUUAAGAAGUUCAUUUCUAAUUUUGACUUGUGGCAUAUUAGAAAUUACGUUUCUUUGAAAAACGUUCGCGUACAACGGAUAAAACGACUUCUGAGUGGUGAUUUUAAUGAAUAAAUUCCAAGGUUUUACACAAAAAAAGGGUGCGUGUGGAGUCCCUACGCGCGGAAGAAGUUAUACUUCUUACUGAUAUUCAGAAAUGCAUAUCAUUUUGUAUGAAAGAAAACUAGAAAACUUAAAUUCACAUUUUAUAAAUUUAUUAUGCACAUAAAAGGAAGAAUAAAGCAAAGUCUAAAUGAAGGAAUUUUGACUCGGAAAGUAGUUCUGUCUCUUCGUUGCGGAAGAGAAUUUGCAGCGUAAUCAUCUCUCUUUUGUUCUUCGCCAAUUUGACUGCCAUAUUGACUUGUGAAGAUCAAUUUUUUGUUGGUGACAUAUUCAUAUGUGUACGCAUAUGUAUGUUUGUAUGCUUGUGCAUUAUUUGUUCGGCAAUGUAUGCAAAUAUAUGUACAUAUAAGUAUAUAUGAACCCUGCCAACCACGGCUACCCAUUUGAGACAAAUAUUCCAAUACAACUACACAUUUUUUUGUCUAUUCACUAACACCAACGCACAUUUUCGGGUUAUUUUUUGUUUACCUAAAAGCGAUGAAAAAAAGUUUUUUCAUUUCUUGAUUUAUUUGAAUGAGUGCGAAGGAGAAAACAUAAUUGUCAAUAGUGCGAAAAGAAAAUCCCAAAAAGGGUAAUAAAAAAACGAUUGAAAAACGCAUGUCAUUCGUGCUUGUACAACAAGAAGAACAUUGGAAAUCAGAAUGGAUUGGAAAUAGCAGCAGCAGCAAUACCAUCGGAAGCAGCAAAUAUCAACUGUUCAAUAUUAUUAUUUUUAUUUAAUUAUUCUUUCUUUUCAGAUUUAAUCACUAUUUUUAUUUAAUUAAUCUUUGCUUUCAGAUAUUAUUAUCAUUUUAUACAAUUAAUCUUUCUUUUUCUUUUAGAUAUUACAAAUUCAAUGUAAUUAUUAUUUAUUUUCAGGUAUUAAUAACCUUUAUUUUGUUUCAAUCUUUUUUCAGAUAUUUGUCUUCUAUUUUCAGGUAUCAAUAAUGUUUCUCUCUAAUAAAUCUUUUUUCAGAUAAUAGAUAAUUAUUUUUUAAAUGUAAUAUAUUUUUAUUUAUAUAAUUUAUAAAAAUUUUAUGAGAUUAUGUGAAAAAUAAAAUAAAAUAAAAAUUUUAAAAAAUUAAAAGUUUUGUUUGAAAUUUUAAAAGUAGGAAUUAAAAAAUGCAACCCUGCAUCAGCUGUUUAAAAUACAACCCUGCAUCAGCUGUUUAAAAUGCAACCCUGUAUCAGCCGUCGAUCGGGGAUAUUAGAGCAGGACAGAUAUACUUUUCUAUAUGACACUGCUGAAUGA